UCAUGUCAUAAAAUUGGCCGGUUACUAAAAAUUACAAUUUAAAACCUAAAGAACUUGGCGGUGUCUUAUCAUACCAGGGGAACCUGUUCCUUAAUUCGAUAAUCCACGAAACCACUACCACUAAUUGAAGAUACAGCUUGUAUACUGCCGUCAUCAGCAUACCUUAAAAAGAUAUAGUAUGCAAUAAUAAUAUUAAUUAAUUAUGUCAGGUCAUAGUACAGCCUAUAUAGUGGAGGAAAUGGGUUACAAUCAUUUAUAUAGAUACCAAAAAUAAAACUAAAGUUUUAUCAAAAGGUGGACUUGGCAGUAAUGAUAUAUAAGAAAACUAUCAUGAAAAAAGAUCUAAGACAUGCACACAUCGCCCGUCACUCCCCUCUAAAGAGG
rnacentral:rRNA from 1 species